rnacentral:lncRNA from 1 species
CUUUUUGUGGAUCUACAAGAUAGUUACCAUGUUGCCUUGUAACAGAAGAAAACAAACUGGACUGCUUGAGGAUUAAACAUGGCCUUUGCCUUGUUAGCAUCAGAACCCUUGAGGAAGGGUUAAUGGCCAAAGGAAGGAAAAAAUCCCAACUGCCCGUUCCUCCCAGUUAACUAGACAAUAGAGGUAAAAGCAGAUAUAUGGGGAAUUUCCCAUAAAUCUCUGUUGAAAUGUAAUUCAGUCAAUGAACCUCUUAAUGCUUGUCUUUUUUAACAUCUGCCAGGUUACAGGAGCAUCAAGAGGCUUUGCUUUGGCAAAGUUCUUUUGAAUUUUUUGAGGUGAAGGGAAACAGUAGAAGACUAGGGUUAUAAUUGCAACUUGCAUUACAUGUGCCAUGGGGACAAUCCUGAUUUUCUUUCUAAAAUGGCCCUUGUGUCCCAUGCAGGCUUUCUGGGGCAUCAUGAUUUAAGGAAGACUUCAAGUAAAAGAAGGAAUUUUAAUUGGAACUUAAAGGAAGCCACGGAGGUCAAUAGCUGGAGUAUGAGAAGACCAUUUCAGUCAUGGGUCAGGCAGAGAAAAUGCCCAGAGAGAUGCAGUGUCUUGUCUGUGGAACAGCCAGGUAGCCAGUGCCAUUGGAUCAAAGAGUAUAUCAGGAGGGCAAAGUAUAAGAAGACUGGAGAGAUUCCAGUGAAGAUAAAACCACUACAAAAAAUCAGUGCUAUAUUUUCUAAAUCAGAAGAUGCCUAUGAGAGGGAACAGCCUUGAAGUAGCCCUGGAUUUGGAGUCAGAGGACUUGUGAGUUUGUCCCAAUUCUACCAUUUAUUAGCUGUGUGAUCUUUGACAAGUCUUUUUUACUUCCCGAUUUAUUGUUUUGUUGAUUUUCUAGAUUUAAGAAAGUAGCAGAGAAAAUAUUGAUAAUGCAGGUUAAAUGAAAAAAAAUGUGUCAUAUAUAUUUUUUCUGGCAGAGUUAUUUUCCAGCACACACUUCUUUGUUCCACUUAUCGCACAAUGUGGUUAUACUGAAAGUAUGUUGUAAAUCUUUUUUUUUUUAAAUCCUUACCGUCUGCCUUAGAAACUAUACUGUGUAUUGGUUCCAAGGCAGAAGAAUGGCAAGGGCUAGGCAAUGGGGGUUAGCUUGCCCAGGGUCACAUAGCUAGGAAGUGUCUGAGGUCAUAUUUGAACCCAGGACCUCCCCGUCUCUAGGCCUGGCUGUCCAUCCACUGAGCUAUUCCAGUAUUUAGAUCUUCUAAAAGGAACAAGGCACUUUUCAGAAACCUGGAAGAUGGACUCAGGAUGCACAAUAACAUGAGGUUCAUGCCUUUAAGCAUCUUCCAUGGAGGUAGGAUGUGGAAUAAUAAUAAUAUCUGUAAAGAGAUAAACAUGUUUCAAAUUAGAAUUUGAUAAAUGCAUGAGAAAGAAAAGUUGCUAUAAGAUCAGGAGAUGGAGAGAUCACCUCCAGCUUGGGAAUCCAAUAAAGAUUUAUGAAAUCCCUUCUAAGUAUAAGGA